rnacentral:rRNA from 1 species
GAUGAACGCUGACAGAAUGCUUAACACAUGCAGGUCGAUGGGGAAGUGGUGCUUGCACCAUGGCAACCAUGGCGGACGGGUGAGUAACGCGUAAGGGACUUACCUGCAGGACUGGGAUAACAGGGGGAAACUCCUGGCAAGACCGGAUAAUGUCAUGGAGCUGCAUGGCUUUAUGAUGAAAGGAGACGCCUGCGGAGAGCCUUGCGUCCUAUUAGCUAGUUGGUGAGGUAAUGGCUCACCAAGGCGAAGAUAGGUAGCCGGCCUGAGAGGGUGGACGGCCACAAGGGGACUGAGAUACGGCCCUUACUCCUACGGGAGGCAGCAGUGGGGAAUAUUGGACAAUGGGGGCAACCCUGAUCCAGCAAUUCUGUGUGCACGAAGAAGGUUUUCGGAUUGUAAAGUGCUUUCAGCAGGGAAGAAGUAAGUGACGGUACCUGCAGAAGAAGCGACGGCUAAAUACGUG